GGGUUGUGAGGUUAAGCGACUAAGCGUACACGGUGGAUGCCCUGGCAGUCAGAGGCGAUGAAGGGCGUGCUAAUCUGCGAUAAGCGCCGGUAAGGUGAUAUGAACCGUUAUAACCGGCGAUACCCGAAUGGGGAAACCCAGUGUGAUUCGUCACACUAUCAUUAACUGAAUCCAUAGGUUAAUGAGGCGAACCGGGGGAACUGAAACAUCUAAGUACCCCGAGGAAAAGAAAUCAACCGAGAUUCCCCCAGUAGCGGCGAGCGAACGGGGAGGAGCCCAGAGCCUGAAUCAGCAUGUGUGUUAGUGGAAGCGUCUGGAAAGGCGCGCGAUACAGGGUGACAGCCCCGUACACAAAAGCGCAUGUGCUGUGAGCUCGAUGAGUAGGGCGGGACACGUGGUAUCCUGUCUGAAUAUGGGGGGACCAUCCUCCAAGGCUAAAUACUCCUGACUGACCGAUAGUGAACCAGUACCGUGAGGGAAAGGCGAAAAGAACCCCGGCGAGGGGAGUGAAAAAGAACCUGAAACCGUGUACGUACAAGCAGUGGGAGCACAGGUUUACCUGUGUGACUGCGUACCUUUUGUAUAAUGGGUCAGCGACUUAUAUUCUGUAGCAAGGUUAACCGCAUAGGGGAGCCGGAGGGAAACCGAGUCUUAAUUGGGCGUUAAGUUGCAGGGUAUAGACCCGAAACCCGGUGAUCUAGCCAUGGGCAGGUUGAAGGUUGGGUAACACUAACUGGAGGACCGAACCGACUAAUGUUGAAAAAUUAGCGGAUGACCUGUGGCUGGGGGUGAAAGGCCAAUCAAACCGGGAGAUAGCUGGUUCUCCCCGAAAGCUAUUUAGGUAGCGCCUCGUGAAUUCAUCUCCGGGGGUAGAGCACUGUUUCGGCUAGGGGGCCAUCCCGGCUUACCAACCCGAUGCAAACUGCGAAUACCGGAGAAUGUUAUCACGGGAGACACACGGCGGGUGCUAACGUCCGUCGUGAAGAGGGAAACAACCCAGACCGCCAGCUAAGGUCCCAAAGUCAUGGUUAAGUGGGAAACGAUGUGGGAAGGCCCAGACAGCCAGGAUGUUGGCUUAGAAGCAGCCAUCAUUUAAAGAAAGCGUAAUAGCUCACUGGUCGAGUCGGCCUGCGCGGAAGAUGUAACGGGGCUAAACCAUGCACCGAAGCUGCGGCAGCGACGCUUAUGCGUUGUUGGGUAGGGGAGCGUUCUGUAAGCCUGCGAAGGUGGCCUGUGAGGGUUGCUGGAGGUAUCAGAAGUGCGAAUGCUGACAUAAGUAACGAUAAAGCGGGUGAAAAGCCCGCUCGCCGGAAGACCAAGGGUUCCUGUCCAACGUUAAUCGGGGCAGGGUGAGUCGACCCCUAAGGCGAGGCCGAAAGGCGUAGUCGAUGGGAAACGGGUUAAUAUUCCCGUACUUGGUGUUACUGCGAAGGGGGGACGGAGAAGGCUAUGUUGGCCGGGCGACGGUUGUCCCGGUUUAAGCGUGUAGGUGUGUGUUCCAGGUAAAUCCGGUUCACUUUAACACUGAGGCGUGACGACGAGGCACUACGGUGCUGAAGCAACAAAUGCCCUGCUUCCAGGAAAAGCCUCUAAGCAUCAGGUAACAUCAAAUCGUACCCCAAACCGACACAGGUGGUCAGGUAGAGAAUACCAAGGCGCUUGAGAGAACUCGGGUGAAGGAACUAGGCAAAAUGGUGCCGUAACUUCGGGAGAAGGCACGCUGACACGUAGGUGAAGUGAUUUACUCACGGAGCUGAAGUCAGUCGAAGAUACCAGCUGGCUGCAACUGUUUAUUAAAAACACAGCACUGUGCAAACACGAAAGUGGACGUAUACGGUGUGACGCCUGCCCGGUGCCGGAAGGUUAAUUGAUGGGGUCAGCGCAAGCGAAGCUCCUGAUCGAAGCCCCGGUAAACGGCGGCCGUAACUAUAACGGUCCUAAGGUAGCGAAAUUCCUUGUCGGGUAAGUUCCGACCUGCACGAAUGGCGUAAUGAUGGCCAGGCUGUCUCCACCCGAGACUCAGUGAAAUUGAACUCGCUGUGAAGAUGCAGUGUACCCGCGGCAAGACGGAAAGACCCCGUGAACCUUUACUAUAGCUUGACACUGAACAUUGAGCCUUGAUGUGUAGGAUAGGUGGGAGGCUUUGAAGUGUGGACGCCAGUCUGCAUGGAGCCGACCUUGAAAUACCACCCUUUAAUGUUUGAUGUUCUAACGUGGACCCGUAAUCCGGGUUGCGGACAGUGUCUGGUGGGUAGUUUGACUGGGGCGGUCUCCUCCUAAAGAGUAACGGAGGAGCACGAAGGUUGGCUAAUCCUGGUCGGACAUCAGGAGGUUAGUGCAAUGGCAUAAGCCAGCUUGACUGCGAGCGUGACGGCGCGAGCAGGUGCGAAAGCAGGUCAUAGUGAUCCGGUGGUUCUGAAUGGAAGGGCCAUCGCUCAACGGAUAAAAGGUACUCCGGGGAUAACAGGCUGAUACCGCCCAAGAGUUCAUAUCGACGGCGGUGUUUGGCACCUCGAUGUCGGCUCAUCACAUCCUGGGGCUGAAGUAGGUCCCAAGGGUAUGGCUGUUCGCCAUUUAAAGUGGUACGCGAGCUGGGUUUAGAACGUCGUGAGACAGUUCGGUCCCUAUCUGCCGUGGGCGCUGGAGAACUGAGGGGGGCUGCUCCUAGUACGAGAGGACCGGAGUGGACGCAUCACUGGUGUUCGGGUUGUCAUGCCAAUGGCACUGCCCGGUAGCUAAAUGCGGAAGAGAUAAGUGCUGAAAGCAUCUAAGCACGAAACUUGCCCCGAGAUGAGUUCUCCCUGAGACUUAGAGUCUCCUGAAGGAACGUUGAAGACGACGACGUUGAUAGGCCGGGUGUGUAAGCGCAGCGAUGCGUUGAGCUAACCGGUACUAAUGAACCGUGAGGCUUAACCUUACAACGCCGAAG
rnacentral:rRNA from 3 species